UACGAAGGGGGCGAGCGUUGCUCGGAAUUACUGGGCGUAAAGGGCGCGUAGGCGGCGAACCAAGUCAGAUGUGAAAGUCCUGGGCUUAACCUGGGGACUGCAUUUGAUACUGGUUUGCUUGAAUUCGGGAGAGGAUAGCGGAAUUCCCAGUGUAGAGGUGAAAUUCGUAGAUAUUGGGAAGAACACCGGUGGCGAAGGCGGCUAUCUGGACCGACAUUGACGCUGAGGCGCGAAAGCGUGGGGAGCAAACAGG
rnacentral:rRNA from 1 species